AUCCAAACCAUUCCUAAAUUAUGGUCUAUUUAGAUCCCUUGGAUUUGGAUUUGGAUUUGAGGGGGCCAAAUCUAAAUCCUUUGUUUGGGUAAGUUAAAAGAAAUGGAUCUAGAUUUGGUUCUAAAUCUCACCAAAAUUUGAUAAGCUCAAAUCCAUGAAUUUCAAAUACCUUCAUACACGGUGGAAUUUAAAAUCCUCUCACACAAAGCUCAAGCCUUCUCUGCCUCAAGCUACGUCAACAACGUUGAAGCUGCAAUCACCAUGGUGUUCAGAGACAAAAAUGAUCAAUGAUGGAAGAGAUAAGUCCAUUCAACGAAAAAGUGGACAACCUUUCAAGAUAUUUUAGCAAAGGAAAUGUUUGAGGAAUAUCAAUCUCGGUAUUGUCAUGUUAUUUGAGACUUUAUAUUUAUAUUUAUAUAUGUAUGAUUUUUUAUUUUAAAUUUUGCAUUAUUUGAAAAACAUAAUAGAAAUGGGAAGACAAUGCACAUAUUUUGGGUA